UCUCGUCUUUCCUCCAAGCUAUAUAUGUUAAGAUCCUUUAACCUUUCCUGGUAAGUUUUAUCCCGCAAUCCAUGAACCAGUUUAGUAGCCCUUCUCUGAACCCUCUCUAAGGUAUCAAUAUCCUUCUGAAGAUACGGUCUCCAGUACUGUGUACAAUACUCCAAGUGAGGUCUCACCAGUGUUCUGUAUAAUGGCAUGAGCACUUCCCUCUUUCUACUGGUAAUACCUCUCCCUAUACAAACCAAGCAUUCUGCUAGCAUUUCCUGCUGCUCUAUUACAUUGUCUGCCUACCUUUAAGUCAUCAGAAAUAAUCACCCCUAAAUCCCUUUCCUCAUAUGUUGAGGUUAGAAUUCUAUCAAAUAUUCUGUACUCUGCCCUUGGGUUUUUACGUCCAAGAUGCAUUAUCUUGCACUUAUCCACAUUGUUUUGAUGAAAGUAUAAACAAAACUUUACUGGGAAUACAAUUAUCAAGCACAAAAAACAAAUACUUUAAAAACACACACUGCUAUAAACAAUACAAUCAGGUACAAUAUACUUAGCUCUGUUCAUGG